AUGAUGCAAUUGGGUGGUCUGUUGAGUUUGUAUUACAAGAGCGGUUGGGAAAUAUAUAAACUUCCUGCUGUCACUGAGAGAAUUAUUGUCUCUGACAUCAACCAGAAAGCAUACUGCAGCGUUGCUUGAUAAAAAGAACAGAGAAGUACACUGAAGAUAAUAUCCACAGACAUUUCCUUUGAACGGCAUUGAAUUUCCCACUACUCACAAUGAAGAUGUUACUGGUCACUCUUCUGAUAAUCGGCUUGAUUGCUAGUACUGUGAUGACUAGUGAAGCAGCUAGUCUGCAAGGACGGAGUGACGGUGAUUCUGGCAAACAUGCAGUCAGUGGAGAACGUCAAGUACGGGGUGACGUAGACUGCGCCUUUUACGAGGAUCCCUGCACUACAUCUCCUAGUGGCUGUUGUGCAAAAUGGCGCAAAUUUGUGUAAUACAAAGCGCCAUUUUAUACGGUGGGGAGAUGAGAAGGAAGCAAGUAUCACCGCUCUGCCUCUCCCAAGUGUCUGACCUCUCAUCUGCGUAUUCAUUUCAGAAAGAAAAAAAGAAAAAAAUCCCCGCGUCAAACCGAACUUUGAUGGAAGUAUUUCGUCUUAGAUCUCCUUUACCAUAACUACUUGUUCAUGGCAGAUAGAUAUUCAGACGGCAACUCAAAUUCCAUUUCAGUAACAAAAUUUAACAUUCUGAAAAUACCGUUAAACUGGGGUUCCUAUAAUGAAAAAGAAAAUCAUUGUAUUUUAUUUUCUCUAUACGGUUGAGAGAGCAGCGUCUUCGUCGAAGAUGACUCAUACAACUUGACGUGAUGCAUCUUUAAUCAACAAGUAGAUUAUAGACAAAUAUUGGUUGGUGGCUGGAUAAUCUAUCAAAAUGCAAACAUCCCCGAAACUUUGUUGAUCAAAAACAUAGAAAAUAAUAAACCUAAUCAUAACACCAAAACCGUGCAAAAUUUGCAACUCAGUGACCGCUAUGCUUGCCAUUAAUUUGUUAACAUUAGUUCAGUUAGGAGGAUUUUAUUGAUGAAAACUCGUAGGAUUCUCUGUGUCAGACCUAAAUAUUAAAGGAACUUGAGGAAAAUUCAUUGAGUUGAAAAAUAUUACACAUGCAUUUUUUGUUUAUCUGCGGUCAACCGCCCAACAAAUCAUCAUGUCUCUCCGUUAAUUAGUUAGUUCGUUAGUUAGUUACAGUACUGUUUAGUAACAAACGUACGUUCUGCGCAGCCGCAGCUCAAAUAUUAAACCUAAAACCGGAGGCCAUUUUGCAAAAGGUAUUUAUUCUGGAUUGCCAUAGAGGGCGCUAAACUACCUAUUAAAAUAUUUUUUUUCCGAACGCUAUGAGUAGUUUAAGACUUACACAAACCUGAGAACUUCAAAAAUAAACACUGCUUAUA